GACGGAGGACGCAAGUGUUAUCCGGAAUCACUGGGCGUAAAGCGUCUGUAGGUGGUUUAAUAAGUCAACUGUUAAAUCUUGAGGCUCAACCUCAAAAUCGCAGUCGAAACUAUUAGGCUAGAGUAUAGUAGGGGUAAAGGGAAUUUCCAGCGGAGCGGUGAAAUGCGUAGAGAUUGGAAAGAACACCGAUGGCGAAGGCACUUUACUGGGCUAUUACUAACACUCAGAGACGAAAGCUAGGGUAGCAAAUGGG
rnacentral:rRNA from 1 species